ensembl:lncRNA
CCGAGGGGCCAUUGUUGGGGGAUAUGGCUGGAGAUAUACUCUGGGAAGGAGGUGCUCUGUGUCAACAAAAACAAGGGAAGAUGAGCCAAGCAAAAUGGGGAUGAAAGAUGUUUAAGGUAACCGUAUAACUGAAGAGUUGACAAAGCCAACCAAGACACUGCCUGGACCUAUGAUAAGGCACUAGAAAAUCCAGGGAUCAUCUGGAAUGCAAAAUUAAGGGAUCCAUUAGAAUGGAGGUAUCACGGCUGUCUUCUGGAUCACUGGAUUUUCAAUUCUGUUGACCACUGCAUGAAGGAAGAAAAAUCGCCCUUUUCAGAAGACCUUAAAAGAAAUAAAUUGUUCGAUAUAUUAAAGGCAUUUAUUUCUCUAAUUUUAGAUUUUAUAAUUUCAUAAUUUCUUAAUUUCAAUUAUAACGUG